rnacentral:rRNA from 1 species
GAGUUUGAUCCUGGCUCAGGAUGAACGCUAGCGGCAGGCCUAACACAUGCAAGUCGAGGGGUAACAGGAAAGCUUGCUUUCGCUGACGACCGGCGCACGGGUGCGUAACGCGUAUGCAACCUACCUCAUACUGGAGGAUAGCCCCUGGAAACGGGGAUUAAUACUCCAUAGUAUCACGAAUUCGCAUGUUUUUGUGAUUAAAGUUUUUCGGUAUGAGAUGGGCAUGCGUCCCAUUAGCUUGUUGGUGAGGUAACGGCUCACCAAGGCAACGAUGGGUAGGGGGCCUGAGAGGGUGGUCCCCCACACUGGUACUGAGACACGGACCAGACUCCUACGGGAGGCAGCAGUGAGGAAUAUUGGUCAAUGGAGGCAACUCUGAACCAGCCAUGCCGCGUGAAGGAUGACGGCCCUAUGGGUUGUAAACUUCUUUUAUAGAGGAAGAAACUUGUCUACGUGUAGACAACUGACGGUACUCUACGAAUAAGGAUCGGCUAACUCCGUGCCAGCAGCCGCGGUAAUACGGAGGAUCCAAGCGUUAUCCGGAUUCAUUGGGUUUAAAGGGUCCGUAGGCGGGUCUUUAAGUCAGUGGUGAAAGCCGACAGCUCAACUGUCGAACUGCCAUUGAUACUGGAGACCUUGAGUACAAAUGAAGUAGGCGGAAUGAGUCAUGUAGCGGUGAAAU